CUAUGGGAACACACUGUUUAAAUCAAAGGUCAUUACGCAAUUGGAUUAUUGCUUACACCUACUUCAUUAUAUGAUCAAUCAGAAACUCAGUACUGGGCAUCAGCUUUGAAUCUGCUUCAGAGACUAAAAUGUGAAACUAGUUCCACACACUGUCAAGGGUGUUCAAUGCCUGGUGGGAUCAACCCCAGCGAAGCUACUGGAUUUGGAAAAAUUACUUUUUUCCUUGGCUCGCUGCUAUAAAAACACCACUUGGAUAAUGGCCAUUCAGUGCUUUGAAAUGAUUGCUAAGGAUUCUAAGCCUUCAGUUGAGAAACUUCAAGCAACUACAGACAGUGUUUGCCUUUAAAGGAACUUGACAGGAAGGCUUUGCUCUGCUCUGACACUCUUGUUGCUCAAACGUGGCCAAUGGCUCCUGAGGAAGCCACUUUCCCUCCUACGUGGGACACAGCAUAUGAGGAAUGAGCCUUUCUGGUGAAGAGGGACGAUGCUCAAAUGGCUGAUCAGCAAUGCUUUCCAAUAGUCGAUCAGCAAUGCUUUCAAAUGGUUGAUCAGCAAUCCUUUCAAAGAAAGAUCUAGAUCCAAAGAAGGAAAUGUCAAAAUUGACUAUAGUGGAGCAAUUUUAAAUGGAGUCAGAGCUGCCUUUCCAGAGGAACUGCCUUGCCGUCUUAAACCUUGGAGUGAGCCAAAUCUUUGGACUGGGCCGAAACGGCAAUUCUUUUACACGCCCUUGUUUGACAAGUCAGCAGGUGAAUGGACAUCCUGAUUAUGGACUUUCUAAAGAUAGAAUCAAUGGUCAAUCAAUGUUUAGCCAAGGCUAGCUCUCUGUCUCCAACUCCGAUUAAAAUCCCUUGUAAUAUAACCUCCCUUCCUCGUCUUUAAAGCCCCUGACUUUUACUCUCUAACAGGACACUAUCUGGAUUUCCACCUGAAUCUGAUCUCCCCGAAUUGCAAUUCUUGAGACGCCAAGUCAACUAUUUGCUUCUCUUGCAGUUUAUGCCUCUUAUUCAUUGACACUGGCAAGACGUUUCUUCCUCUGGUCCUCAC
rnacentral:lncRNA from 1 species